rnacentral:rRNA from 1 species
AGGGUUCGAUUCUGGCUCAGGACGAACGCUGGCGGCGUGCCUAACACAUGCAAGUCGAACGAGAACCCGGAGCUUGCUCCGGGGGACAGUGGCGAACGGGUGAGUAACACGUGAGGAACCUGCCCUAGAGACCGGGACAACCAUUGGAAACGAUGGCUAAUACCGGAUGCCUUCACGUGGUCGCAUGACCGAGUGAAGAAAUGCUCAGGCGCUCUAGGAGGGUCUCGCGACCUAUCAGCUAGUUGGUGAGGUAAUGGCUCACCAAGGCAUCGACGGGUAGCUGGUCUGAGAGGACGAUCAGCCACACUGGGACUGAGACACGGCCCAGACUCCUACGGGAGGCAGCAGUGGGGAAUAUUGCGCAAUGGGCGAAAGCCUGACGCAGCAACGCCGCGUGAGGGAUGACGGCUUUCGGGUUGUAAACCUCUUUCAGGGAUGACGAAAAUGACGGUAGUCCCAGAAGAAGCUCCGGCCAACUACGUGCCAGCAGCCGCGGUAACACGUAGGGAGCAAGCGUUGUCCGGAUUUAUUGGGCGUAAAGAGCUCGUAGGCGGUUUUGUAAGUCGGAUGUGAAAACUCAGGGCUCAACCCUGAGAUGCCAUCCGAUACUGCAAUGACUAGAGUCCGGUAGGGGAGCAUGGAAUUCCUGGUGUAGCGGUGGAAUGCGCAGAUAUCAGGAGGAACACCAAUGGCGAAGGCAGUGCUCUGGGCCGGUACUGACGCUGAGGAGCGAAAGCAUGGGGAGCAAACAGGAUUAGAUACCCUGGUAGCCCAUGCCGUAAACGUUGGGCACUAGGUGUGGGACCUUCUAACGGGUUCCGUGCCGUAGCUAACGCAUUAAGUGCCCCGCCUGGGGAGUACGGCCGCAAGGCUAAAACUCAAAUGAAUUGACGGAAUCA